rnacentral:rRNA from 1 species
UACGGAGGGUGCGAGCGUUAAUCGGAAUCACUGGGCGUAAAGCGCGCGUAGGCUGUUGUGUAAGUCAGGGGUGAAAUCCCACGGCUCAACCGUGGAACUGCCCUUGAAACUGCGUGACUUGAAUCCGGGAGAGGGUGGCGGAAUUCCAGGUGUAGGAGUGAAAUCCGUAGAUAUCUGGAGGAACAUCAGUGGCGAAGGCGGCCACCUGGACCGGUAUUGACGCUGAGGUGCGAAAGCGUGGGGAGCAAAC